rnacentral:rRNA from 1 species
UACGUAGGUGGCAAGCGUUGUCCGGAUUUAUUGGGUUUAAAGGUGCGUAGGCGGUCCUAUAAGUCAGUGCUGAAAAUAUCCCGGCUUAACCGGGAGGGUGGCAUUGAUACUGCAGGACUUGAGUGAAGUCGAGGUAGGCGGAAUUGACGGUGUAGCGGUGAAAUGCUUAGAUAUCGUCAAGAACACCGAUAGUGAAGACAGCUUACUAGACUUCAACUGACGCUGAGGCACGAAAGUGUGGGGAUCAAACAGG